UUCCCCAACCUUCCCCAACACCCCUGCCAUCACCCCCACCCCGUCUCUCUCACUAGUUUCAUUUUCCAGAAAUAGCCUUUGAUCCCUAAAACAAAGAUGAGAGAGCCCUGUGGCAGGGCAGGAGCAGGAGGGAGAGCGCCCGGAGAGGAUGCCAAGAGGGACGGGCCCACUUGUUCUACGGAUGUCACAGUCUAGCACCUGGGGGACACACACAGAAUCUACCAGAGCUUGAAGGGGGACCAGAGGUUCCAGUCCAGACCGCUUGGCUCCGUGUGUCGAACCUGUGGGGAGGCAGGACACGGUGACGGCAGGAACAUGCAGCAGAGGAAGUUGCUCAGCUCACGGCAACCAAUAAACAGACAGCUGAGUUAGAAGUUCUACGUUCCCUCUAAUGUGGCUGUGGCUGUGCUCACCACACAUAUUUUACAGAUCACUUCUGCUGUCUGGGCCAAGAUCAACUUACAAAGGGCCCUUCAGACAACGCCAACACCUGCACCAGCUCCUGGGACUUCACCAUUGGUACCAACUCUCCUGGCUCAAAAGGACACCUACCAACUGAAAUCUGGUUUUAAAAGGCGUAUCUGCUCUUGUGUCUCACUUAUUCGCCCAAGUCUCACCUGUACAACCAGGACACUUCUCUGUCCAUUCUUUCUAGGAUCUAGUUAAUGAUUCUUUCCAUGGUUAGUCUCAUCAUAGGGCCAAUAAUGUGUGUGUGUGUGUGUGUGUGUGUGUAUUUCUCCUAGCCCCCUGUCUUUUCAUCUCCCCCAAGAAACAUAUGCCUGAGGUCUCCAGGAUGGCAGUAAACCAGAUGCUUCUCCAACCACACCUCUCAAUGAGCAUGAAUCCACCAACUCCCAGCUCUCCCCUCUCACUCCCACGUCACCCAUGCCCACAGGAAGUAGCCAGACUUGAGCUGGUGCCCCCUUUAUCCAAAGAGUCUGGAAUGUUUGGUUGGAAGCAUCAUCUCAGCCCCUAACAUCCUUAUCAAAAAAGUCUGGUUAAAAGUAUCACCUCAGCUCCCUGACCCCCCCCCCCCAUUAUCCAAAGAGUCUGGAAUGUUUGGUUGGGGGCUUCACCCCAGCUCCUGGGGUCUGUUUUGGAAUGGUAGGUGGAAUGUUCCAUUUCAAAGUCCCCUCCCCUGGGAGUUGCCUCAGUACAGAAAGUCAACCUCCGAGAAAGCCUGCCAAAUGGUAACCCCUCCCC